rnacentral:rRNA from 1 species
GACGAACGCUGGCGGCGUGCUUAACACAUGCAAGUCGAACGGUAAGGCCCCUUCGGGGGUCCACGAGUGGCGAACGGGUGCGUAACACGUGAGCAACCUGCCCUUGACUCUGGAAUAACAGUUGGAAACAGCUGCUAAUACUGGAUAUUCAUCGUCUCCUUCCUGGGGGGUGGUGGAAAGCUCCGGCGGUCAGGGAUGGGCUCGCGGCCUAUCAGCUUGUUGGUGAGGUAAUGGCUCACCAAGGCUUCGACGGGUAGCCAGCCUGAGAGGGCGACCGGCCACACUGGGACUGAGAUACGGCCCAGACUCCUACGGGAGGCAGCAGUGGGGAAUAUUGCACAAUGGGCGCAAGCCUGAUGCAGCAACGCCGCGUGCGGGAUGACGGCCUUCGGGUUGUAAACCGCUUUCAGUAGGGACGAAGGGUGACUGACGGUACCUACAGAAGAAGGACCGGCUAACUACGUG